rnacentral:tRNA from 1 species
GGUAAAAUGGCUGAGUAUUAGGCAAUAAACUGUAAAUUUAUGAACGAAAUGAAAUUUCUUUUACCA